rnacentral:sRNA from 1 species
GCUCUGUUCUCUGAAGAUACCAGGGUCCUGUACUGCUGAUCCGGAGAACCAAGGAUGAGAUCAUCACCACCACGUGAGUGCGUGGGAAUCUCGGCCCUCAGGAACCCCAGAGAUGGCCAGGAACUUGUCCCUUCUACCUCUGCCCACCAGAAACCUGGGUAUCUAGACCCUUCCUCCUAACCUCCAGCCCCUCCAGGGUACAUUCUUCUUACCCCCAGGGUUCCUGAGGACAUCAUGUCCAACCGAGGCAAUGACCUCCUGCUGAAGCUCCUGCAGCAUCGGUAUCCCCGGGUGAUGGCAGAGGAGGGUCUUCGAGUGGUGAGGCAGUGGUUGGAGGCCUCCUCACAGCUGGAGGAAGCCUCAAUUUAUAGCCGAUGGGAGGUGGAAGAGGACUGGUGUCUGUCUGUCCUCCGCUCCUACCAGGCAGAACACGGGCCCGACUUCCCCUGGAGCGUGGGGGAGGACAUGAGUGCAGAUGGACGGCGGCAGCUGGCUUUGUUUCUGGUGAGCUAAGGAGUGGGAAGUGGGAAGGGUUCUUGAAUGGCCAGGGCUCACACAGGGGGACUGGGGAUACCCUAUAAGCAUUGGAAGUGGCAGCUUUUGUAGAGUGGGUGG